rnacentral:miRNA from 10 species
AUGGCACCUUAAAAUAAUAUAGUAUUAGAUUGGUGCAAAAGUAAUUGCAGUUUUUGCCAAAAAGAAGUAAUGGCAAAAACUGCAAUAACUUUGCAUUAACCUAAUAACUU